UGAUUAAGUUCAAGAUGGAUGUGCAAA
rnacentral:piRNA from 1 species